rnacentral:rRNA from 1 species
AUUACUGGGCGUAAAGCGCAUGCAGGCGGUUUGUUAAGUCAGAUGUGAAAGCCCGGGGCUCAACCUCGGAACCGCAUUUGAAACUGGCAGGCUAGAGUCUUGUAGAGGGGGGUAGAAUUUCAGGUGUAGCGGUGAAAUGCGUAGAGAUCUGAAGGAAUACCAGUGGCGAAGGCGGCCCCCUGGACAAAGACUGACGCUCAGAUGCGAAAGCGUGGGUAGCAAACAGGAUUAGAUACCCUGGUAGUCCACGCCGUAAACGCUGUCUACUUGGAGGUUGAGGUUUAAGACUUUGGCUUUCGGCGCUAACGCAUUAAGUAGACCGCCUGGGGAGUACGGCCGCAAGGUUAAAACUCAAAUGAAUUGACGGGGGCCCGCACAAGCGGUGGAGCAUGUGGUUUAAUUCGAUGCAACGCGAAGAACCUUACCUACUCUUGACAUCCAGAGAACUUUCCAGAGAUGGAUUGGUGCCUUCGGGAACUCUGAGACAGGUGCUGCAUGGCUGUCGUCAGCUCGUGUUGUGAAAUGUUGGGUUAAGUCCCGCAACGAGCGCAACCCUUAUCCUUGUUUGCCAGCACGUAAUGGUGGGAACUCCAGGGAGACUGCCG